GGGGAAUAUUGCGCAAUGGGGGCAACCCUGACGCAGCAACGCCGCGUGCAGGAAGAAGGUCUUCGGAUUGUAAACUGCUGUCGCAAGGGAAGAAGACAGUGACGGUACCUUGUGAGAAAGUCACGGCUAACUACGUGCCAGCAGCCGCGGUAAUACGUAGGUGACAAGCGUUGUCCGGAUUUACUGGGUGUAAAGGGCGCGUAGGCGGACUGUCAAGUCAGUCGUGAAAUACCGGGGCUUAACCCCGGGGCUGCGAUUGAAACUGACAGCCUUGAGUAUCGGAGAGGAAAGCGGAAUUCCUAGUGUAGCGGUGAAAUGCGUAGAUAUUAGGAGGAACACCAGUGGCGAAGGCGGCUUUCUGGACGACAACUGACGCUGAGGCGCGAAAGUGUGGGGAGCAAAC
rnacentral:rRNA from 1 species